rnacentral:rRNA from 1 species
GAUGAACGCUGGCGGCGUGCCUAAUACAUGCAAGUCGAGCGAACAGACGAGGAGCUUGCUCCUCUGACGUUAGCGGCGGACGGGUGAGUAACACGUGGAUAACCUACCUAUAAGACUGGGAUAACUUCGGGAAACCGGAGCUAAUACCGGAUAACAUGUUGAACCGCAUGGUUCAACAGUGAAAGACGGUUUUGCUGUCACUUAUAGAUGGAUCCGCGCCGCAUUAGCUAGUUGGUAAGGUAACGGCUUACCAAGGCAACGAUUCGUAGCCGACCUGAGAGGGUGAUCGGCCACACUGGAACUGAGACACGGUCCAGACUCCUACGGGAGGCAGCAGUAGGGAAUCUUCCGCAAUGGGCGAAAGCCUGACGGAGCAACGCCGCGUGAGUGAAGAAGGUCUUCGGAUCGUAAAACUCUGUUAUUAGGGAAGAACAAAUGUGUAAGUAACUAUGCACGUCUUGACGGUACCUAAUCAGAAAGCCACGGCUAACUACGUG